rnacentral:lncRNA from 10 species
CGCCAAACUAUGGGUGUGUCCUGGGCCAGUGCAUGAAGCGAUGGAGUGGGGACAUCGAGCCGAUUUGGAAAAUUCCUGCCACCCACUCUCUGUGGAGAAACGAGGUCUAGACGCGGUGCAGGGGAGAGAACCACUUACUGAACGCCAUGUGUGUGCGCGGCGGGCGUGGUGCUGGGCGCCCUUCUUUUGAUUCUCACAACCCUUUGAAAGACCUCAAAAUGACCCCUCAUGGAAGAGGAAACUGAGGCCCUAUGGGGAAACUGAGACUCAAGGAAGUUGUUCUGGAAUCCCACAGAGAAUAUCAGAGCUGAAAUUUUCUGUCCUAUUUUAGAGAGAUAAAAAGCUGAAAGCUCAAAGUCACGUUCUCCCAUCGCCAAUCUGAAGACCUAUGAGAGCUUCAUGCUCUAUGGGGUGAGUGGCCCAGGCCAUGCUAAAGACAAAGAAGUUCUCAUUAUUGGAGGUCUCCUUUGAGGGUUUCCAUUACAAAAUUACAAAGUGAUCAACCCUUCUAGAAGACAGUUGGGUUGUUCACUUAUUAAGGGCAGGGACAGAGUGCACUGCUCACAGUUGCUGAAUUUGGUGUUCGUUCGGUGAGCUUAUAGCUGAAUGAACUCAUUUUCAAUCCCAGAUUAUUCAAGGGGGAAGCUGCCUUUGUGUCAGGCAAUGGGUGAAGUAGCUUGUUUGUGACUUUUCCCAGAGGAGGGUUCUUGCAUUCACGCAGCAAACAUACUUAUCAUGCACUCUGCGGUGUUUAUAUAGCUGGGAAACAGAUGGGAACUUCAAAGGACAGGAAUGCUUUGCUUCUCUUGAAAAUUCUGCUCUGAGUAUUUGUCUUAGUCUUCUCGUGCUGGGUACUUAAACAACAGACAUUUAUUUCUCAUAAUUCUGGAUGCUGGAAGAACAAAAUCAAGGUGCAGGCUGAUUUGAUUCCUGUUGAGGCCCCACUUUCUGGCUUGCAAACAGCCAUCUUAUCACUGUACGCUCUUAGAGACUUCUCUCUAGAGUCUCUUCUUAUAAGGCAUGAAUCCCAUCGUGGGGUCUCCACCCUUAUGACCUCAUCUAAACCAAAUUACCUCCCAAAGGACCCACCUCCUAAUCAUCAUACUGGAGGUUAGGCAUUCAACCUAUGAACUGGGUGGAAGGGAGCACAAAAAUUCACUCAUAACAAUCCUAGAUGUCUGGAUGUUUGCCCAUCUCCAUGCAUGGUAGAAGCCAUGUAAUCCCCCUACCCUGUCAGGGUUUCCUGUGACACAAGAAGUAGAUCACCCAGGGAGGGGCACCGGAACGCAGUCAUAACUCCUCCCACCCCACCAACCCCUUGGUGCCUCAGCUGCUCUUCAGAAUCACAAAGGCCAGAAAACAGAAGCAGCUCUCCUCCUCUCCUAGGAGGCUUUGGAAACAGAGGGAGAUGCAAAUGGAAAUUCCCCAAAAGGGAAAUGCAAGGGAAGCAGAAAAAGCUGCAGCAAAGUGGGUCUGCCCCCGCUACCCUCAUUUCUUUCCAAGAAUCCCCUCCCUUGAGUGUGCCGUCAGAGAAUUGGAAUGUCACUGCCCUGUCCCCCAAGACUGUGUUGCUGCUCAGGCUGAUAAAGACAAAGGCUGCAAUUGGGCUCGCUUUGCCCGAAUGUAACCCUGCCUUGAAGCCUUCCUGAGGUGACCAGGGGAGAUCAUGUGCUGCCUGAUGCUGUCAAGAUGCCUGUGUGAGCUGCCUGCCUGCUGGUGUUGGCAGGAAGAAGGCUGCUUGGUAACUUACAUCAGCACCGCGUGGAGGGUUGAGAGCUUUGGCCAUGCCGGGCCCUGUGCUGACACUUGUAGUUGAAUUCCCUCCCAUAUGAUCCUCCACAGCCCUAUGCAGUAAGUGUGUGACCCCCGUUUUGGAGAGUAUGAAACUGAGGCUCUGAGGAGGGGCCCAGGAGAGACUAAAAGCUAUGAAGGAAUUUGAUGUGGGGAACCCCAACAGAGCCAAGAAGGUACCCAGAGACUUUAGAAACUAUAGGGACUUACUUCUCAGGACCCCUUUGAAACCUAGACCUAAGAGGAUGAUUUGAUGCUGAGACAGCAUGACAUGCAGAGUGACUCAAUCCAACAGAAUGCUAAGUCUCAGUGAGCUGUCACCCCAUUCUGCACCAGAUGAAUAACUCUGCAACACUCAGAUGAUUGUGACCUCCUCCUGCCGUGCCUGCCCACAUGUCACCAGUAGAAGCAAGAAUGAACAUUUGUGAAAAAAUUAGUCUGCAUUGUCAAUUGUCAUCCUGGAGAGAAAAUGACUUGAUCUUCAGUGAUAACAGGAAUAUUACCAUCUUUCAGCCCCAUCUCAUUUUUCUUCACUUACUCAGAGUCUUACUCAGCGACCUAAUACUGAGUCUACUGAUGUCUUCACCUGCAAGAGCAACCUCCUUCCCAAAUCAGUUCCCACUCCUAACAGGAGCAGAGGCAAUAUCAGUAGCCCUUUUUUAUUUUUUUUCCUGAGACAGAGUCUUGCUCUGUCGCCCAGGCUGGAGUGCAGUGGCACAAUCUCGGUUUACUGCAACCUCUGCCUCCUGGGUUUGAGCGAUUCCCCUGCCUCAGCCUCCUGAGUAACUGGGAUUACAGGCACCUGCCACCAUGCCCGGCUGAUUUUUUGUAGUUUUAGUAGAGAUGGGGUUUCACCGUGUUGGUCAGGCUGGUCAAUUCCUGACCUCGUGAUCCACCCACCUCCCAAAGUGCUGGGAUUACAGGCAUGAGCCACUGUGCCCAGCCGCCUUUUUUGUUCUCUUCCUUGAUCUUAGGAGUUUAGGAAAUGAUCACACUCCCAGAUCCAAGAUCUGGUGUUCUACCCUCAAAGCCAAUGGACUCACAAGAUCCCACCAAGCAGAUCUAAAUGAUCUAGGACUAAUAAUGCAGGCUCUGAAGUUAGAGAGACUUAGAGUCAAAUCUGAACUCUGCCACUUAACCUUGCACAAGGCCAGUGUCUCAAUUAGGUUAGGAUAGUCAACAAUGCUAAAUAAGAAAAUUCAUUUCUCGGCUGGGCACGGUGGUUCACACCUGUAAUCCCAGCACUUUGCGAGGCCGAGGCAGGCGGAUCACGAGGUCAGGAGUUCAAGACCAGCCUGGUCAACAUGGUAAAACCCUGUCUCUGCUAAAAUACAAAAAUUAGCUGGGCGUGAUGGCACACGCCUGUAAUCCCAGCUACUCGGGAGGCUGAGGCAGGAGAAUUGCUUGAACUCAGGAGGCAGAGGCUGCAGUGAGACCAGAUGGCACCACUGCACUCCAGCCUAGGCGACAGAGCAAGACUCCAUCUCAAAAAAAGAAAAUUAAUUUCUCAUCACAAUAUACGUCCAACAUAGGUUAGUGGAAGGCAGUGCUCCAUAUUAUUACUCAAGAACCCAGGCUGAGAAAGGUUCCAUCUUAUAAUGUCACCAUCACAACACAUGGUGUUCAGGGAUACUAAGACAGGGGAAAGAUGAGGGAUGGGCCAAGUUUGAGGUUUUAACCAUCUCAUCCCAGAAAUGAUACAAUGGCAUUCCAGUUUUGGUCCAUUGGCUAGAACUAGUCAUGUAGCCCUGCCAACCUGCAAGGGCCUAAGAAUCAUCACCUUCCUUAUUACCAGAAAGUGGAGGAGAACUGGAUAUGAGUAAAUAAUUUUACUGCAGCCCAGCACACAGAGUGUGAUACUACUGUGUAGUUACUUUCUUCCUUCAAGUUUCCUGUAGGUCCAAUAGACCAAGGAUUCAUUAAGCUAAGGAAGGGCCCUGUUGUUUGUAUAACCACCCAUCAGAAGACUCUAUCCCCCAUGUCACCCUCAACCUCAAUGCCACUCCACAAUGAACAGGCUCAGUUCACCAGCAUGGGCUUAUGACCUAGGCUUUUCUUCCUAGCCAGUCUUGCCCUAUUGUCCUGCUUGAUUUUUUGGCCUGCCCCUCUAAGCUUGAGCCUUAUCCUAAUAAGAAACUUUGUAGGACUGGAAGCUUCAUAUCUUGUUCAGCUCUUGCCAGUUCUCCUUAUGAGCAGUCAAUCAAUGUUUUAGCAGUGGAGCCAUCUUGGAUCCUCAAACUUCUUGGAGGCCAAAGGGCUAAACAAUUCCCAGUCACAGCGAAUUUGCUGCCAAAGAUACACUCACUCAGCCUUUCCAAGGAAGUGACUGGAUAUGUAAAAAAGGGUUAUGUACAAAGAUGUUUAUUGAAACAUUAUUUGUAAUAGCAAAAUAUUGGGAAUAACCUAAAUGUCCACCAAAGGAGAAUGCUUAUAAAUAUGAAUCAUCCACAUGAUGGAUGUAUAAGUUAUGCCUGCCAAGUUCAUCAGGGUAAACAGAAGAGACAAAAUCAGAUUAUUUAUUAGGAUGGAGUUGAUUUCCUAACACAGUGGGACCUGCUUUCAUUUUGUUUGCCCUGCAGCUCUACUAUCCCAGAUUUUAUUGAUUCAUUUCAGGGCCAUUCUAUAGGCAGCAUCUCCACUGGGCAGCCAGGGCCCAGCUCAUGUGUAGUUGGGUAGCCUUUGCUACUGCAUUGGUCCCCAAUCCAAUCAUCUGUGAUUAGGGGAGCGGCUAGCUCUCCUCGAAAGUAGAGAAGGUUGUCCUGGCCUCUAAUGAAUUAUCCUUUAGUCAGUCUAAUUCAGUGAAAUAUUAUGUACCCUUUAAAAAUUGUAUUUACCAGAAGUUUUUAAUGACCUGGAAAAGUAUGCAGGAAAUAUCGUUAGGUUUUUAAAAUUUAUAAAAUUGAAUCUAUACUCUGACAUAUGUUAUAACAUAAAUUAACCUUAAAAGACAGACGCGGUGGCUAACGCCUGUAAUCCCAGCACUUUAGGAGGCCAAGGCGGGUGGAUCACCUGAGGUCAGGAGUUCAAGACCAGAGUGGCCAACAUGGCAAAACCCCAUCUCUACUAACAAUACAAAAUUAGUGGGGCAUGGUGGUGGGAACCUAUAAUCCCAGCUAUUCCGUAAGCUGAGGCAUGAGAAUUGCUUGAACCCGGGGGGCAGAGGUUGCAGUGAGCUAAGAUCGUGCCACUUCACACUAGCCUGGGCAAAAGAGCGAAACUCUAUCUCAAAAUAAAUAAAUAAAUAAAAAUAAAUGAACCAAGUGAAAUAAGCCAAUCAAAAAAAGGGCAAUAUUGUAUGAUUCCACUUUCUUUUUUUUUUUUUUUUUUUUUUUUUGAGAUGGAGUCUCACUCUGUAGCCCAAGCUGGAGUGCAGUGGCGUGAUCUCGGCCUUCACUACAACCUUUAUCUCUUGGGGCUCAAGCAAUUCUCCUGCCUCGGCCUCCCAAGAAGUUGGGACUAGAGGCUUGCACAACCACACCCAGUUAAUUUUAUGUAUUUUUAGUAGAGACGGGGUUUCACCAUGUUGCUCUGGGUGGUCUGGAACUCCUGAGCUCAGGCAAUCCACCCUCCUCAGCCUCCCAGAGUGGUGGGAUUAUAGGCGUGAGCCACCAUGCCCAGCCAUGAUUCCACUUACAUGAGGUCCCAGGAGUAGUAAAAUCAUAAUGACAGAAAAUAGAAGGGUGGUUGCCAGAGGCUGGAGGGAGAGGGAAAUAGGGUUUAAUGUUUAAUGGGUAUAGAGUUUCAGUUUUGCAAGAUGAAUAAAGUUCUGGAGACGAAUGGAUGGUGGUGAUGGUUGCACAACAAUGUGAAUGUACUUAAUACCACUGAACUGUACAUUUAAAAUGGCUAAAAUGGUAAAUUUUAUGUUAUGUGUAUUUUACCACAAUUUAAAGAAUUGAAUCUAUAGUUUCAUCACAAAUGUGUGAGGUUUUCUUUUUAAACAAAUGUUUGAGUAUAUGUGUGUGCAUGUGUGUGUGUAUAAUUAUGCCUAGUGUUCUGCCUUUGGUAAUGAGAGGAAGAUGCUACAGUUUCUUCCCUCAUGCUCUUCCUUUAGCUAGUGCAAGGGUUGGCAAACUGUGGCCCUUCAGCCAUGUCCAGCUUCUCAUUUGUUUUCAUAAAUAAAGUUUUAUUGAAACACAGUCAUGCCCGUUCAUUUAUGGAUUGUCUGCUUUUAUCCAACAAUGGCAGAG